rnacentral:tRNA from 1 species
ACCUGGCUGGCUCAGUUGGUAGAGCAUGCGACUCUUGAACUCUGGGUUAUGGGUUCAAGCUCCAUGUUGGGUG